rnacentral:rRNA from 1 species
GAUGUCAGCUAGUUGUUGGGUGGGUAAAACCAUUUAGUAACGUAGCUAACGCGUGAAGUUGACCGCCUGGGGAGUACGGCCGCAAGGUUAAAACUCAAAGGAAUUGACGGGGACCCGCACAAGCGGUGGAUGAUGUGGAUUAAUUCGAUGCAACGCGAAAAACCUUACCUACCCUUGACAUGUCCAGAAGCCUUGAGAGAUUGAGGUGUGCCCGAAAGGGAGCUGGAACACAGGUGCUGCAUGGCUGUCGUCAGCUCGUGUCGUGAGAUGUUGGGUUAAGUCCCGCAACGAGCGCAACCCUUGUCGUUAAUUGCCAUCAUUUGGUUGGGCACUUUAACGAGACUGCCGGUGACAAACCGGAGGAAGGUGGGGAUGACGUCAAGUCCUCAUGGCCCUUAUGGGUAGGGCUUCACACGUCAUACAAUGGUCGGUACAGAGGGUUGCCAAGCCGCGAGGUGGAGCCAAUCCCAGAAAGCCGAUCGUAGUCCGGAUUGCAGGCUGCAACUCGCCUGCAUGAAGUCGGAAUCGCUAGUAAUCGCGGAUCAGCAUGUCGCGGUGAAUACGUUCCCGGGUCUUGUACACACCGCCCGUCACACCAUGGGAGUGGGUUCUGCCAGAAGUGGGUAGCCUAACCGCAAGGA